rnacentral:rRNA from 1 species
UACGGAGGGGGCUAGCGUUGUCCGAAGUUACUGGGCGUAAAGCGCGCGUAGGCGGGUUGGUAAGUCCGCUGUGAAAGCCCGGAGCUUAACUCCGGAGGGUCGGUGGAUACUGCCAGUCUUGAAGGUGCUAGGGGGAGAUGGAAUUACCGGUGUAGCGGUGAAAUGCGUAGAUAUCGGGAGGAACACCGGUGGCGAAGGCGGUUCUCUGGGCCUGUACUGACGCUGGAGGAGCGAAAGCGUGGGGAGCGAACAGG